UGGGGAAUAUUGGACAAUGGGGGAAACCCUGAUCCAGCGACGCCGCGUGUGUGAAGAAGGCCUGCGGGUUGUAAAGCACUUUUAGUGGGGAUGAAAAGUUCAGGGCUAAUACCCCUGGAUCUUGACCUAACCCACAGAAAAAGCACCGGCUAACUCUGUGCCAGCAGCCGCGGUAAUACAGAGGGUGCAAGCGUUAAUCGGAAUUACUGGGCGUAAAGCGUGCGUAGACGGUUACAUAAGUCGGGUGUGAAAGCCCCGGGCUCAACCUGGGAAUUGCAUUCGAGACUGCGUAGCUAGGGUGCGGAAGAGGGAAGCGGAAUUUCCGGUGUAGCGGUGAAAUGCGUAGAUAUCGGAAGGAACACCAGUGGCGAAAGCGGCUUCCUGGUCCAGCACCGACGUUCAGGCACGAAAGCGUGGGGAGCAAACAGGAUUAGAUACCCUGGUAGUCCACGCCUUAAACGAUGGGCACUAGACGUUGAAGGGGUAAGCCCUCCAGUGUCGUAGCUAACGCGCUAAGUGCCCCGCCUGGGGAGUACGGCCCGCAAGGUUGAAACUCAAAUGAAUUGACGGGGUCAUAGCUGUUUCC
rnacentral:rRNA from 1 species